GGCGGGCAAACCACUCACUCAUUCCCUCCAACUCAAUCCACCAGCCUUCCCCCAAAUCCCACGACGCAGCCGGAGUCAUCUCACCUCCUCAACCGCUUGCUCGCUGCACCACGUCUGCUGCACCAGGUACUUCCCCAAACCCUAGACUGACACCGCACACUACGCCGGACCACCUCCUCUGUGCCGCUGCAUACCUCGCCGAACCACCUCUUACGCCGGACGACCAGCAAUUGCAGGAAGCAGUCCUUGAAGAGUUGAAGCUCAGAAGAAUGCCAAAAUUGAGGUAGUGAAAGACACACCUGACGAGAUUUUGUACGGUGAAGCCUUACCCAAAAGAGAUGAAAUGUGACGUUGAGGUACAGACACGACAACGGCCACUCUAACAUGGGCUUUAGCUUUACUAGUCAACCACCCUGUGGUCUUAAAAAUAGCCCAACAGAAGCUUGAAAACCAUGAUGGAAGAGAUA
rnacentral:lncRNA from 1 species